CACGUAGGGUGCGAGCGUUGUCCGGAAUUAUUGGGCGUAAAGAGCUCGUAGGCGGUGUGUCGCGUCGGCCGUGAAAACCUGCAGCUUAACUGUGGGCUUGCGGUCGAUACGGGCAUCACUGGAGUUCGGCAGGGGAGACUGGAAUUCCUGGUGUAGCGGUGAAAUGCGCAGAUAUCAGGAGGAACACCGGUGGCGAAGGUGGGUCUCUGGGCCGAUACUGACGCUGAGGAGCGAAAGCGUGGGGAGCGAACAGG
rnacentral:rRNA from 1 species